UUAACGGCGAGUGAAGCGGCAAGAGCUCAAAUUUGAAAGCUGGCCCCCUCGGGGUCCGCGUUGUAAUUUGCAGAGGAUGCUUCGGGUGCAGCCCCCGUCUAAGUGCCCUGGAACGGGCCGUCAUAGAGGGUGAGAAUCCCGUCUGGGACGGGGUGUCUGCGUCCGUGUGAAGCUCCUUCGACGAGUCGAGUUGUUUGGGAAUGCAGCUCUAAAUGGGUGGUAAAUUUCAUCUAAAGCUAAAUACUGGCCGGAGACCGAUAGCGCACAAGUAGAGUGAUCGAAAGAUGAAAAGCACUUUGAAAAGAGAGUUAAACAGCACGUGAAAUUGUUGAAAGGGAAGCGUUUGCGACCAGACUCGCCCGCGGGGUUCAGCCGGCAUUCGUGCCGGUGUACUUCCCCGUGGGCGGGCCAGCGUCGGUUUGGGCGGCCGGUCAAAGGCCCUCGGAAUGUAUCACCUCUCGGGGUGUCUUAUAGCCGAGGGUGCAAUGCGGCCUGCCCGGACCGAGAACGCGCUCGGUCACGCGCAUAGAUGUGAGC
rnacentral:rRNA from 1 species